rnacentral:rRNA from 1 species
GGGGGAUAAUAUUGGAAACGAUAGCUAAUACCGCAUAACAGUAUGUAACACAUGUUAGAUGCUUGAAAGAUGCAAUUGCAUCGCUAGUAGAUGGACCUGCGUUGUAUUAGCUAGUAGGUAGGGUAAUGGCCUACCUAGGCAACGAUACAUAGCCGACCUGAGAGGGUGAUCGGCCACACUGGGACUGAGACACGGCCCAGACUCCUACGGGAGGCAGCAGUAGGGAAUCUUCGGCAAUGGGGGGAACCCUGACCGAGCAACGCCGCGUGAGUGAAGAAGGUUUUCGGAUCGUAAAGCUCUGUUGUUAAGGAAGAACGAGUGUGAGAAUGGAAAGUUCAUACUGUGACGUACUAACCAGAAAGGACG